rnacentral:rRNA from 1 species
UGAUCCUGGCUCAGGACGAACGCUGGCGGUGCGCCUUUAUGCAUGCAAGUUGAGCGAAGCUUUUCAGUAGUUUACUACAGAAAAUGACUGAGCGGCGAACGGGUGAGUAACGCGUGAGCAAUCUACCUUUAGUUACUGGGAUAGCCCGAGGAAACUCGGAUUAAUACCGGAUAUUCUUAUUUUUUCACAUGAAGUUUUAAGGAAAGGUCAGCCGAACUAAGAUGAGCUCGCGUUCUAUCAGCUAGUUGGUGGGGUAAAAGCCUACCAAGGCAACGACGGAUAGCUGGUCUGAGAGGACGAUCAGCCACACUGGGACUGAGACACGGCCCAGACUCCUACGGGAGGCUGCAGCAGGGAAUAUUGUGCAAUGAGCGAAAGCUUGACACAGCGACACCGCGUGUGGGAUGACGGUUCUAGGAUUGUAAACCACUUUCAGGAGGGAAGAAAAUGACGGUACCUCCACAAGAAGACCCGGCCAACUAUGUGCCAGCAGCCGCGGUAAUACAUAGGGGUCAAGCGUUGUCCGGAUUUAUUGGGCGUAAAGAGCUCGUAGGCGGUUCAACAAGUCGGUCGUAAAAGUUUAGGGCUCAACCCUAAAAUGUCGAUCGAUACUGUUGUGACUAGGAUACGGUAGAGGUGAAUGGAAUUCCGAGUGUAGCGGUGAAAUGCGUAGAUAUUCGGAGGAACACCAAUUGCGAAGGCAGUUCACUGGACCGUGAUCGACGCUGAGGAGCGAAAGCUAGGGGAGCAAACAGGAUUAGAUACCCUGGUAGU